GACGAACGCUGGCGGCGUGCCUAAUACAUGCAAGUAGAACGCUGAAGGAGGAGCUUGCUUCUCCGGAUGAGUUGCGAACGGGUGAGUAACGCGUAGGUAACCUGCCUGGUAGCGGGGGAUAACUAUUGGAAACGAUAGCUAAUACCGCAUAACAGUAGAUGUUGCAUGACAUUUGCUUAAAAGGUGCAAUUGCAUCACUACCAGAUGGACCUGCGUUGUAUUAGCUAGUUGGUGAGGUAACGGCUCACCAAGGCGACGAUACAUAGCCGACCUGAGAGGGUGAUCGGCCACACUGGGACGGAGACACGGCCCAGACUCCUACGGGAGGCAGCAGUAGGGAAUCUUCGGCAAUGGACGGAAGUCUGACCGAGCAACGCCGCGUGAGUGAAGAAGGUUUUCGGAUCGUAAAGCUCUGUUGUAAGAGAAGAACGAGUGUGAGAGUGGAAAGUUCACACUGUGACGGUAUCUUACCAGAAAGGGACGGCUAACUACGUG
rnacentral:rRNA from 1 species